rnacentral:rRNA from 1 species
GAUGAGCGCUAGCUACGGGCUUAACACAUGCAAGUCGAGGGGCAGCAUGAAUCAAGCUUGCUUGAUUUGAUGGCGACCGGCGCACGGGUGAGUAACACGUAUCCAACCUUCCCCCUACUCGGGCAUAGCCCAUCGAAAGAUGGAUUAACUCCCGAUGGUCUCACAUGAUCGCAUGUUAAUGUGAGUAAAGUUCACGGUAAGGGAUGGGGAUGCGUUCAUUAGCUUGUGGCGGGGUAACGCCCACAAGGCGACGAUGGAUAGGGGUUCUGAGAGGAAC